rnacentral:tRNA from 1 species
GUUGUGGCUUAGUGGAAGAGCACUUGCCUAGCAUGUGUGAGGCACUAGGUUCGAUUCUCAGCACUACG